rnacentral:lncRNA from 1 species
UACACAAUCUCGUCGUUUUAGCCUUGGGCGGACAGUGGAGGUGUUGUCCGUUCGGCGUCCGUUUGCCGCGCCCGAACCGUACCAAAUUGGUAGCGGUCUUGGGGCGGGGACGUGACAAAUCCAUUCACAUGUAGGAAUGUAAAUGGAUAUGGAUAUCCGAAUUUUAUCCGAAUCCAAACCCGAACAGAGCGGAUUUCAUCCGAUGUAAAUGGAUUUGGAUUCGGGUAUGGAUAUUAAAAAACAAAUCUGACGGAUUCGGGUUCGGAUAUGGAUAUUUUUAAAAAACCCGAACCCGAAUAAAUUUAAUACAAUAUAAUAUAUAUAAAAAAAUUUAAACCACUAGAUCCGAAUCUAAAGGCCAAAAAAAUAAUCACACUUUUAUAAUUUAAACCAAAAUACAUAUAUCUUUAUAACCCAAACCCUAAUAUUCAAAAAUCAAAACCUUCCCAUUUCCCAAAAUUAAACCCUAAUAUUCAAAAAUCAAAACCUUCCCAUUUCCCAAACCUUCUCCAUCUCCAAACCUUAAUAGUUAAAACCUCAAAAAAUUAAGAUAACUAUUUUAAAGCCUUCCCAUUUCCCAAACCCUCUCUAUCUCCAAACCCUAAUAAUUGAAACCU